rnacentral:rRNA from 1 species
GACGAACGCUGGCGGCGUGCCUAAUACAUGCAAGUCGAACGCAGUGGGGACGGGUGAGUAACACGUGGGUAACCUCCCAUCAGAGGGGAUAACACUUGGCAACUGGUGCUAAACCGAUACUGCUGGAUGGCACGGGGUGCAUUAGCUAGUUGGUGGGGUAACGGCUCAACAUGGCCACGAUGCAUAGCCGACCGGAGAGGGGGAUCUGCCACACUGGGACUGGGACCCUGCCCAGACUCCAACGGGAGUCAGCAGUAGGGAAUCUUCGGCAAUGGACGAAAGUCUGACCGAGCAAAGCCGCGUGAGUGAAGAAGGUUUUCGGAUCGUAAAACUCUGUUGUUAGAGAAGCGGUAUCUAACCAGAAAGCCACGGCUAACUACGUGCCAGCAGCCGCGGUAAUAC